rnacentral:rRNA from 1 species
UACGAAGGGGGCUAGCGUUGUUCGGAAUCACUGGGCGUAAAGCGCACGUAGGCGGAUCUUUAAGUCAGGGGUGAAAUCCCGAGGCUCAACCUCGGAACUGCCUUUGAUACUGGGGAUCUCGAGUCCGGGAGAGGUGAGUGGAACUGCGAGUGUAGAGGUGAAAUUCGUAGAUAUUCGCAAAGAACACCAGUGGCGAAGGCGGCUCACUGGCCCGGAACUGACGCUGAGGUGCGAAAGCGUGGGGAGCAACAGGG